ensembl:lncRNA
UGGGCAUGUAAAGUGUUUGUUAUUGGGGAGUCUAGGAACUAUAAACUUGUCUUUAGUGGUCACUGUGGGUAAAAAAACAAACAAAAAAAAACAGAAUUUCUUGCAAAAUCAGUAUUUCUUUCUGCCAAAUGUAUUUUAAUUCCUAUUUUUCAUAAUCUCCAUUCAAGACAAUCCAUGCACUCACAAUGUCUUGCAUAAUUCACUGUUUGCUGUAAAUGUAACAAUUAUAUGCAUGUAUUCAGAGUUAAAUCAAGCCCUGAAUAGACAGGUCACUGAACCCAAUCUUAAGAGAGUUGGACUGGUUUUGCUUUGAAACAAAUUUGUUCAACACUUUGAGACAGGCCUUUCACUCACAAAAGGACCAGCCAAUAACUAUCCUUAACACAGAAAAAGUCACAAUGCAAAGCAUUCCAAAACAAUCUGAUAAUUUAUUUUGUAUGGUGGCACACAAAAACAAAUUUAAUUACCAACACAUGAGUGGCUUGUUCUUCCAGAAUCAACACUUGUGUGAACAGGGGGAGAACUGGAUUCCAGAGACAAACUAGAAUUUUCUAAGAGUUAAAAGGAAAAACUAGUCAGGGAACUGGGUAUUUUACAUUUAGAAGUCAAGUUCUUAGAGGGAAGAGACCAACAUUUAAAAAUUGGUUUUUACAGGUUUAAUGCUAGACUUCUAACGAGAAGGGGAAGAACUGGAUUGUAUAGCAUCACUAGCUUUCUCCGGUUUAUAACGGUUUCUCAGAGGGAAGAGAGCUAGACUUCUCAGUGGGGAGGGAGGAACGUGGUUCCGUUGGAGCACUAGGUUGUUCAGGUUUAGAACUGGGUUUCUCAGUGGGGAGGGAAAAACUGGGUUCCGUUGGAGCACUAGGUUGUUCCGGUUUAGAACUGGGUUUCUUAGUGGGGAGGGAGAAACUGGGUUCCGUGGGAGAACUCGGUUGUUCAGGUUUAGAACUGGGUUUCUCAGUGGGGAGGGAAAAACUGGGUUCCGUUGGAGCACUAGGUUGUUCAGGUUUAGAACUGGGUUUCUCAGUGGGGAGGGAGAAACUGGGUUCCGUGGAAGCACUAGGUUGUUCAGGUUUAGAACUGGGUUUCUCAGUGGGGAGGGAGAAACUGGGUUCCGUGGGAGCACUAGGUUGUUCAGGUUUAGAACUGGGUUUCUCAGUGGGGAGGGGGCUAGACUUCUCAGAUGGAAUGGAAGAACUAGGUUUCACAGGUUUAGAACUGGGCUUUAAGAAAACGCUUGGUUUCACUGGGAGAAGAGAACUUGGGAUCUCUGGCUUAGAAUGUUGUUGCAUAGGAGCACUAGAUUUCUCCGGUUUAGAGCUGAAUUUUUCAGAUGGAAGUAAAAAAAUGGGUCCCAUCAGAGCUCCAGGUUUCUUAGGUUUAGAACUGACCUUUGAGAAGAGAAUACUUGAUUUCACAGGGAGAGGAGAACUUGGGGUCUUUAGCUUAGAUCGGUGUUCAGUAGGAGCUUUGGGUCUCUCAGGGUUAGAGGAGAACUUGGGGUCUUUAGCUUAGAUCGGUGUUCAGUAGGAGCUUUGGGUCUCUCAGGGUUAGAGCCAGACUUCUCAAAAGGGUAGGAAGAACUUGAUUGCUUAGGAGCACUAGGUUUAGAGCUUGACUUUUCAGAUUGGAGAGAAAAACUGGGUUUCUUCACAGAAAGGGAGCUGGACUUCUCAGAAACAAAGGAAGAACUGGGUUCCUUAGGAUGUGCUUUUUUUACAGAUGAUUGCCAAAUGCUGCUUUCCACUAGAGCAGUCGGUUUUCUCAAGGAAACAGACGAACUUGACUUCACAUGAGCCCUGAAACUAGGUUUCUGAGGGAAGUGAGAAUUGUCAUGUUCAGUCGGUCCUGAAAAGAAUAUUUGAAUAACUGUUAGUUACAGAGAUGACAAUAUAAAACAGUGACCAUAAGUUCUCUUCAAUUUUAAUACAACAUGGUAGCUAAACACAUCAUCAUGGAAACAUGUAUAUCUUUAUGUUAAUGAACAUAGAUAAUUUACAACCAAACCUUUGUGUUUUUGCAGUAGUUGCCCAGCAUUACUCCAAUCAGACACAUGGGAGACACGUUCAGUUGGAGUACAGAGCACUAGAAGAAGACUCAAGGUUAACAAGAGAAACACAUUUUUUAUAUCUAUACACUAAAGUUAAUUUACCUUCACUCCAUGAGUGAUACAAAUACAAUAAAAUAAUAAGUUUAGAAGAACCCAUUUUGCCCACAAGUUCUACCAUUCAGUUUGUUUGUCUAACCAGGCAUUUUAAAGAUAAGCAGUGACACAGAUUUGCAUCACCUGGGAUCCCCAUUAACGAACAAUUGUGGCAUUGUUUCAUCCUUGGGUGUAUUCCAGAAAGCACGGUUAACUUACCAUCACAUAUACCCUGAACUCUCAGUUGAUUAACCUAAACCAGGGAUCCUCAAAUC